rnacentral:lncRNA from 1 species
CGGAUGUUGCGCUGGAUGUGUGGACUGACUCGAGGGGAUAGAGUUCGGAAUGAGACUAUCCGGGAGAAGGUUGGUGUGACUUCAGUGGAGUGUAAGAUGCGGGAAGCACGAUUGAGAUGGUUCGGACACGUGAAGAGGAGGGGCAUGGAUGCCCCGGUCCGUAGGUGUGAGAGGCUAGCGUUGGAUGGUUUUAGGCGGGGUAGGGGUAGGCCGAAGAAGUACUAGGGUGGGGUGAUUAGGCGGGACAUGGAACAGUUACAGCUCACCGAGGACAUGACCCUAGAUAGGAAGGUCUGGAAGAUGCGAAUUACGGCAGAGGAUUAGGGCCAGUUUGGGUCGCUAGUGUAGGGAUUACUUGGUGGGGGUUUUAUUCCUGUUAUGAUUCCGUGUUCCGUGUUCCAUGUUUUAUUACGAAUCUGUGUGCUUUCCUCUGCUUUCCUCUGUUUUAUAUUACUUAUGGGUGCCGUAUUUAUGUUAUGUAAUCUGCUUCUGUGCUUUACUAUGUGUUUGUGUGGUAUCUCGUGCCUUGAGCCGGGGGUCUAUCG